GCCCUCCCAUGGCAGAAUGGGUCCAUGUAUCUAGCUGUUAACCAAAAGGUUGGUGGUUCGAGCCCACCCAGGGGUG